AUAUUUACUAUACAAACAUUUUUUUUUUAAAUCAAUUAACUAUUUGGUUCAAUUUAUUUUUUUUACGUUCAUAUUAUUCUUUUUUUUUUUAUGAGAGAAAAGUAGUAUAUAUAUCUGUUUCAUUUAUUUCUUUAUAUAAAUAAAUUUAACUCGAAAUGUGAUGCAGCCAGAUUUCGAUAUUAGAACCUCAGGUGCCAACCAUCAAAUCUUUUACAAUUUGUGUUAGGGACGGUCGGUACACAAAAUGAUUCUGUACGCACCAAAUUUUGAACUUUUAAAAUUCCAAAUGAAAAUUUACACUUGGGCCAAAU
rnacentral:lncRNA from 1 species